UACGUAGGGGGCAAGCGUUGUCCGGAUUUAUUGGGCGUAAAGAGCGUGUAGGCGGUUAGGUAGGUCCGUUGUGAAAACUCGAGGCUCAACCUCGAGACGCCGAUGGAAACCAUCUGGCUAGAGUCCGGGAGAGGAGAGUGGAAUUCCUGGUGUAGCGGUGAAAUGCGCAGAUAUCAGGAAGAACACCCGUGGCGAAAGCGGCUCUCUGGAACGGUACUGACGCUGAGACGCGAAAGCGUGGGGAGCGAACAGG
rnacentral:rRNA from 1 species